GGUUGUGGCUCAGUGGUACAGCGUUUGCCUAACAUAUGUAAGGCCCUGGGUUCAAUCCUCAGCACCA
rnacentral:tRNA from 1 species